rnacentral:rRNA from 1 species
UACGGAGGGUGCAAGCGUUAUCCGGAUUCACUGGGUUUAAAGGGUGCGUAGGAGGGCAGGUAAGUCAGUGGUGAAAUCUCCAAGCUUAACUUGGAAACUGCCGUUGAUACUAUCUGUCUUGAAUACCGUGGAGGUGAGCGGAAUAUGUCAUGUAGCGGUGAAAUGCUUAGAUAUGGCAUAGAACACCAAUUGCGAAGGCAGCUCGCUACACGAAUAUUGACUCUGAGGCACGAAAGCGUGGGGAUCAAACAGG